rnacentral:misc_RNA from 1 species
UUGAAUUUUAAUGAAGAGUUUGGUUGUAGCUGGCCCAUUCAUUUGGGCAUGUGCACACCUUCCUCUUUCAUCCCACACACACCUGUGAACCUGUGAGACAGAGAUGGGGAAUUUACUUGCUGCUUUUUGGAAUACAAAGGCAAUAGGUUAUUGGACCCCCCCUCUGUCUACUCAAUUAAUAUAAACUCAAUUUAUUUUAAAACGAAUGUAUAAUGGAUGUAACACAUCUCAUAC